UAGACUGGACAGAUGGUGGCAAUUCACAACCCUCGCCACUAGAUGCCACUACAUCUUACACACUGAAACUUGAAACCAAGUUUACAUGACCCCGGACUGACUCCGAAAGUCCACUGAGUCCGUCUGAAUCAUGAGCCAAUACAAGGUCAGACUCAUUUGAGUUAAUGAUAACUUGUCCUAAUAAAUAAAUGUUUGUUUACCUAAUUCUGUUCUGUAGAGGUAUAUUGAUUCUUGGACCAACAGAUGGAGAAAACAGUUUUAAAGGAGGGAGGAUGAUAGUGGGAGCGCAGUGUGAGGUUAGUCUAAUUAACGUUACGUUACAAUCAUUUAAAAUGAGUUUAAUAUGAAUAUAAAUGGUUUCCUUCUGGGUAAAUACAUGAAUGCUGUGAACAUCAGAAGUAUCUUUUACUCACUGUAGAAAUUCAGAAUGCAUGCUGUGAUGAUUUGCUGAUAAAAUCCUCCCUCCUUUAAAACAGUCUGCUUCAACUGUUAGACAAUAUGUAUAGAUUAGGAAAGGCCUCUUGAUCUAGGAAUUUGGUUUAGUUGAUUGAUACUUUUUUAUCAAGUAUCAAUGUAGUUUUUUUUAUCAUCAACACAAGGUUGUAGAAUUUGAAGUGAAGUGAUUUCAUGGUGCCUUCAGAAAGUAUUUUUACUAAUCACAAAAUUUAGAUUUUAUUUAAAAUAAAAUUUAUUUUGAUAUAUGGCGUUGCUGCUGAUGGAUAUUUGCCCCUCCCUGUAUGUACUGUAUCCAUAUGAAGCUACAUGUAUCGAUCAGAAAUGUGAACAGUUCUUUAUUUUACAUCUGUUUAAAUUUGCACUGGAGUCUUCAAUUUGACCCUGGUGUCUCCAGUAGGCUACUGUAAACUCUACUACUGUAAUCCACUACACAUCAUACCUGAACUGUGUGUCUGUGUCUGUUUCUGGCAGCCGUCCACUGUUUUUCCAGAUCUUUGCCUUUAAACACAUUUUACCACAAUACAAAACUAGUGCGUUAAGUCCUGCUUUCAAAAAGUUAAUAAAGUCAAAGUACACAAUUAUUAUCUACAUGUAACUACUUUACAUAAUGUUGGCAGAUAAAUCUAUAUUAUACAUAUAUAUAUAUAUAAUCUCUACAUAUAAGUGCGUCAAGAUGUAAAAUAUUAAUCCGCAGAGUAACUGUACUCUGUACAUGUUUUUAUUUCACAAUGUAAAUGUUCACUGAAUUAACCUACAGAUGUCAGAUUAAAAAUUAAUACAUGCCAUCCUGAGGUGGACAACUUGGUGGAAUAUAUUAGUACUUCAUAAUCAAGAUAAUAAAAAGACCUGUAGAUAUGUUAGAAGGAGGACUGUGGUAUGAACGAAGCAGCUCUAAAUUUUGUGAUUCAAAAUAAUAAUUUAUUGUAGAUAAACCCCACAGAUGAUUUUACUGCUUCCAUGGGAGCUCAGACCCUCCUGAUGGAUCUCCUGAUCCCACUGGCUCCCAGGUAACUCGUACCCUCUUUAUCACCCAAAACUCUGCCUGUCAUGUGCGUCGUCUUACCCCAGGUCUGGACACUGUCUAUUGAUGGGGAAACAGUUUUUCAACUUGAAAUGGGGGUUGCGAUGUUGUAAUCAGCUGCGUCCACAUGGUCCUAAAGCCAUGAGUGUUCUGCAGCCUUUUUAAAGUAGUAGCCUACUGCCAUAGUGGCUGUGAUGCUGCUAAGUGGUUGUAUUAGAGGGUACGUGCGUACGCAGGGCGGCCUUGGUGGAGUAAACGGUGGGCCGUUCUGGUGGGCCGGUCUGGAUCAAAGUCCAGGGCCAUUUUUUACUCCCAGUCCGUCCCUGACAGUUACAGAAGGUCAAUGAUCCUGUUUUUAUCAGGUUUAUUGACUCUUGGUUACAUCUGCUCUAAAAUCAGGACGCUGUUCAAAUAACUGAUCAGAAGUCUGUUUUUAUAUUGAUAUAAAGCGAGAAGUCGGACUGCUAACUGAGCUCAGGUGUGUUUUAGUUGAGCUUCUCCAGCUCAGAUCAGACCUGCAUCAACACAACUCUGAUCAUUUCUGGUGAACAACUGGUGGAAAAUGACUAUUUAUCUGACAUCUGUGGGUUAAUUCAGCUUUACUGGCAAGAAAACAGACGUUUACAUUGAAAUAAAAAAAUAUAUUGAAAUAAAAACAUGUAGAGAUUAUUUACAGGUUACUCUGCAGAUUAAUAUUUUACAACAUGAAGCAUUUAUAUCAAUUUAUCUGCCAACUUUAUGUGAAGUAGUUACAUGUAGAUAAUAAUUGUGUGUUUUGACUUUAGUAACAUUUUGAAAGCAGGACUUUUACUUUUUGUAUUUUGCUAAUAUUAUGUUUUAAAUCAAAUAUACCGUGGACGGCUGCCAGAAACAGACACAGUUCAGGUACAAUGUGUUGUGGAUUACAGCACUGCAGUUUACCUACUGGAGAAACCAGAGUCCAAUUCAAGACUCCAUCUUACCUUCGUUUCUUUUGAGACAAAGUCAGCAAAUUUGACUGAUGCUGUGGAUGACUUCAAGCUUCAGGAAUGAGCUUACAGUGACAUAGAAAUUGGUUUUACAAGCGCCAGCCUGUGUUAAUGAACGCAGUAAGAGGUAUUCUCCAAUCCACAAGUUCUGGAUGCUGUCUGUCACAGGACCUCGCUGUACAAAGGAUGCAAAUCUACAUCAUCAAGACUACUACGUCAGAGGGUCCUGACGACAUCGGUAUCUGGGUAACUUUCCAAAGGUGUGCUGCAUGGUCGUUGGCUUGGCGUGCAGUGAAUCUUGCCUAUCCUAAGAUACUCACGUACACGCUUGAAGUCUUCCAGAAACUCCUCCUCAAACUGGAUUAUUUAAAACUGUCUCCAAAAGUGAACAGCCUCAACAAUAAGAUACUAGAUUAAGAAACUUUAGUGAAAAUUAACUAAAGUCACUGUCAAACUGUGACACUGUGGAGGAGCUACAAAUUGUCACUGAAGGAGACCUUCUCUGAGUAACAUUUGACAAGUUGAGUUGUUUGUCUUCCAUCAGGAAUCCCUCCCACUCUCGAGGAGCUGCAAAUAGGUGGACUGUUCUUAACUUAACUUAACUAAUUUGAUGGGUGUUGAAUUGUGUUUUUGACGUAAUGUUGGCACAGGCAGCUGUUGUUGUAGUUUGUGAUUCCACUGUGUACACUAGGGAUGCAAAUUUGACAAAAGCAAUUGUUCAAGUGAGUCCCAUUAUAGCGAGCAGAGAAGAAGAAAGGCAAAGGAAGUACUUGACCUAAUCCCAGUCUCCAUGUAAUAUUUUAAUCUCAAAGUUUUAGCCGUUUGAAAAACAUAUAGGCCCUGACGGUUUCAAUUUGCACAUGUAACAAGGAAAAUAUUUAAGUGAAAAUUUUAAAAAAUGUUGUGCAGUCUGAAAACAUUGUCGUACUUUAAAUGCAACAGAACUAGACCUUGAAUCACAUAUAAAUAAUAUGUACCUGGUGAUGGGCAAAGGUUAUUGGUCAUUGUGCAGUUUUGUUAAAUUUGUACUGGGUCUUUUCAGAGUUGCAUAUGCAGACACAGUGGAUAUUUUACAAGCACCGAUCAGUUAAGCAACACUGAACGCACCUGGUUUAGAAUAAAUAAUAUCCACUCAUCCAUUAACUAUACUCGCUUAUCUUGUAGCCUAUAUAGUAAGAUGCCAUAGGCUUAAGCUAAUAAUGUUAAAUAUGAAGUAAUAGGAGUUUUAGGGCCUAACCCCCAGUUAUGUUGGCCCGAGCUGAAUUAAACAUCACAGCUGCUGAGAGGGACGAGAGAUUCAGCUGUAAAGGAAAGGCGCUGGAUUUAUAACACAAAACGAGUGUCAUUGUGAAACAGCAUGCGGCCCAAUUAUCGUUUUAUCUUAAUUAAAUUACUUUUAUAAUUGGUGGAAGCAGAUUGUUUCGAACUAUACCAUAGCUGGGGCUGAAUGUGAAAAUAUCAGGCAUUGUUUGUCAUUAUUAUUAUUAUUAUUAUUAUUAUUAUUAUUAUUAUUAUUAUUAUUAUAUGUAGCCAUUUUAUUACAAUUAUUACUUCACACAACAGCUGCAGCAGUCUCUCUACACAGUUUUGACCUGACCUUUCUUUUCUCCGUGACAUGGAAGAAUUUAGAAAGUUGUGUGGUGCUGUGGAGAUGCCCCAGCUGUUGUGCAUGGAUUAUGCUAAAAUUAAAGGGAACGAUCACGAACUGUUCACAGCGCGCAGGUGUUAUGCCGAGUUUUGCAUGUCUGCAGAGAAUUGCAUGCACCGCCAAAUACUGCUUUUAAACGUUAUAAUAUUGAUCUUGGGCUUCAUCAAUGGUGAUAAAUCCGAAAUAUAUAUUUUAUGAACGUUUAGUCUUAAUAUGUUAUCACAUUUAGUGGAAGUAGAAUUCAUUGCGAUUCAUCAAAAAGAUGUGGUGAUAACCAACACAUUCUCAUCUCAAUGCAUCAUAACUAACGCUUUCAGACAGCGUGACAAAGCAUAAGGAUUUUUCUGACAUUGGGCGAAAGGCGGGGUACAACCUGGACAGGUCGUCAAUCCAUCACAGGGCCACACACACACCUACGGACAAUUUAGAGUCACCAAUUAACCCAGUCCGCAUGUCUAUAAGUAAAAAAGGCCAGGAUAGCUGACAGUUUAAAUAUGUAUUUUACAACCUUUGCGAAAACCGUGGUUAAUAAGUGUUGUUAAUAAGCUGAUGCGUUCUCUUUUACAACAGUGUCCGAAGAAGCAGUGUUAAAGAAACUUAACCCAUCCAAAGCAACUGGCUUGGAUAAUAUUCCUGCCAGAUUCCUUAGGGAUGCCGCGGAUUCCAUCACCUCCAGUGUAAUGCAUAUAGUAAACCUUUCCAUUACGCUGGGAAUGUUUCCCAAUGAAAUUAAACAGGCGAGAGUUCCCCUUUUCUAUAAAAAAAGGAAGUAAGUUAUCCAGGAAAUUAUCGGAGCAGAUAGAUACAUAUAUUUCCUCUAAUGAUACUAUACAUUUCAAUCAGGCUUCAGAACAUCCCACUACACUGACACUUGCCUACUCUAUCUCACCGAUUACAUUACGAGAGAGAUAGAUGGGGGAAAGUACUGUGGUAUGGUCAUGUUAGACCUCCAAAAGGCAUUCGAUACUGUUGAUCAUACCAUUCUAUUAAUAACAUGAAGUGUUGGGAUUUGACAGUUUAGCCAUAAAAUAGAUUGGUUCAUUUCUUGGAGGUAGGAAACAAAUGGUGGAUAUGGGUGGGAUUCUAUCCAAACCAUUGUUCCUAGAAUGUGGGGUCCCCCAGGGAAGUGUUUUAGGUCCACUGUUUUUUCUAAUGAUAUGAAAUCUGCUUGCUCAUGUGACCUUUUUUAUAUGCAGAUGAUUCCACAUUAAUGGUAUUACUCAAGGAUAACUCUAAGGUCGAAAAAGUCCAGAGCUUAGAAUUAUUUCAUACCAGUCGAUGGUUGUCUGACAACAGGCUGUCACUCCAUCUUGGUAAAAUAGAGGCUAUACUCUUUGGAUCAAACUUUAAGCUAAAGAAGGCCACAGCCUGAGGAAUCCAAGCCAAGGAAUCUGUCAAUGACUUGGCUCAGAUGGUGCUCACUAAAAUCAACCAAAGAAUCUGAUUUCUGGCUACAAUCUUAAUUUUUUUGAAUAGAACAGUGUUAGAGACCUUGGCAGGGGCUCUAAUCCAGUGUCAUUUUGAUAAUGCAUGCCUCUCCUGGUAUAUAAGUGCACCUAUGAUCCUUAAAAAGAAGCUCGUCACAAAAUAAAUUGGUGCGACUGGCCCUUAAACUCCCAUCUAGGACACAUCUUCCCACUCAACGUAGAAGAGCGAGUUUCGCAAAUUAACACUUACACUUUCCUGUAUUCAGCUGCCAUUAUGUGAAAUUUAAUCAACUCUUUAGGUUUAAGUUCCCACUCACAAAAUGCCUGAGUGGCCGAUUUCCCUUACAAUAACAAUUAUAACAUAUAUAUCAUGAAAUGUUAGCAGUAUGCUUUUGUUUUAAAUGUCACUGUCAAUUUUGCAUUUUACUGCCAGUCCAAUAUUUUGAAUUUCCUUAAACACUGUAUAAUGAUGUUGUGACAGAACUAGUAUUGUAUGUUAUCUAGGAAUGUGAAAGUAUUAAGUAUUAUUGUAUAAUGUAUUGUUACAAAAUUUAACUUUUUGUACUUUUUUUUUAUUUUAGAGAGAAACAGUGUCUACUUGGAAGUUGCUAAUAACUAAUUUGUUGCCUUUU